rnacentral:rRNA from 1 species
UACAGAGGGGGCAAGCGUUGUUCGGAAUUACUGGGCGUAAAGGGCGCGUAGGUGGCCAACUAAGUCAGACGUGAAAUCCCUCGGCUUAACCGGGGAACUGCGUCUGAUACUGGAUGGCUUGAGUUUGGGAGAGGGACGCGGAAUUCCAGGUGUAGCGGUGAAAUGCGUAGAUAUCUGGAGGAACACCGGUGGCGAAGGCAGGUCUCUGGGCCAUAACUGACGCUGAGAAGCGAAAGCAUGGGGAGCGAACAGG